rnacentral:rRNA from 1 species
GUAGCAAUACACGAGUGGCGCACGGGUGAGUAACGCGUGGAUAUCUGCCUUUUGGUUCGGAAUAACCCCGGGAAACUGGGGCUAAUACCGGAUGGUUCCUUCGGGAUAAAGAUUUAUCGCCAAAAGAUGAGUCCGCGUACGAUUAGCUAGUUGGUGAGGUAAUGGCUCACCAAGGCGACGAUCGUUAGCUGGUCUGAGAGGACGAUCAGCCACACUGGGACUGAGACACGGCCCAGACUCCUACGGGAGGCAGCAGUGGGGAAUAUUGGACAAUGGGGGCAACCCUGAUCCAGCCAUGCCGCGUGAGUGAUGAAGGCCUUCGGG